rnacentral:lncRNA from 1 species
CAACCAUCCUUUUCUUGGGGUUGCGCUACUGUCCAAUGAACGCGUAGUGAGGGCAGUACUGCUAACGCCUGACAACACACCUGCAUCGGUUAGAGCUCUGCUUUACCUUGGUGCAAUUUUUGGAAAACCCACAACACCUCUCUUCCUUACCUAAGCGUUAAAAGAUAAAAACAGCCGCGUGUGUAAUGUUGCCCUCCUCGCAGUUCCUUUAUUGUUUGCUAGAGGGCAGCCGGACAGUAAUUACUGAAGACCAGCUUUCUUACCGCAGCCUAUGACUGUGAUACACUAAGAAGCUCCCUUUGGAAAAUGUUGUAAUACAGAUAAAGGGUUCCGUAUUUGGGUUUUCAUCCAGCUUACAAGUAAAUCUAUAUACUAUACCAAGCCAGCACUGGGAGGAAUUAGAUACUUGAAAGUGUAUAAUUCUUUUGAGGCGCAGAGUCUAUGUAGCCCUUAGCAUGGCCUCAAACUUGUAGCUCUCGACUGCUAAAAUUAAAGGCAUGUGCCACUUCCCGGGACCCUUUUUUCUCCCAACUUUUAAAAUAGUUCUAUUUAUGAGCAUUUUCUUUAAAAAAAAAAAAAAAAAAAA